UUUAUGCAUUGCGAACCGUCUCGCAUUCCAAGCAGUAGGUGAUCUGUUGUGUUGACGCUUUUCUGCUACUUUGCUUGGACAAUUAAGUUUCCUCCCGUUGCAAGCCAAUCCUCAGCUCCGCUUUCCCCACACCAAAAAGCAAAAGCUAAAAGCGAAGAGCAAAGAUUCACACAUAUGUAGCUAGAUAGAAUUAGGUGAAUGAGAAUGCUGAGUUUGAUGAGCAAAGGCAAAUGGUUUUAACAAAUGAAAACAAAAGCAUGGACGAAAUAUCAGUUGUUCUAAGAAGGUUCGGGGACGAACAGAGCACAUUGCUGGACCAGUUUGAGAGGCUUUCCUUCGAGGUUCAGCUGAACCAAGCCAUAUUGAGUCGGAGCCUAUCCGAGCCAAGCGUUGCUAAAAGGUCGCAGUACUGCUCACAGUUUCAAGCUCCGCCGCCAGCGGUGAAGCCAAAGGGGCGGAAAGGGCGACGCGGGUCUGGAUUCAACAGGGUCCUGAAGAAGUUGCUGAAACCAAUCCUUGGUAGGAAAGGAAAUGCCGGGAAGAAGCCUGUGGCUGACCCCCAAAAUCCCAUGUCUUGGAAAGCUUUCAGCAGAUCUCUACGGCUCUGAUUAAUUUUUUCAAAAAAAAAAUGCUUGUUUAUUCAAUUUUGCCAUCCGUGUUAUAGCUAUUUCUCUCUCUCUAUAAAAAUGCUAAUCAUUCGGUUUUCUUAUUCAUUGCAAAAAUCAUAUGUAAUAGUUCUCAAAGAAAUCAAAUAUGAUAAAGGAAUUUUUACUGAUAUUUUGCUGUCAGAACCUGGGGCUCCACUUAAGUUGACGCUCCAUUUAGAAUAAAUAAUUGAACUGCUCAAUUAAACUUUCUUUCCUAAUAAAAACGAGAUUAAUUAUAUGUGAAACUUCAUGCUCUACACUAGAACUGAAGUUACCAUUGUGAUUUUUCAAUGCUAAUCGAAAAUAUAUAUUAAAAAAUUUAUUUAAGUUUUUAAGCUAUUUGAUUUUAGCAUGAGUGUUCUCAUUUUUAACUUUUUUGGAAAAUUUUGAAGUUUGAUAUAUUAUUUGAGGUUCGAAACUCACAGAAAAUCCUCGUAAGGCCGAGGCUAUCUACUUUAUCUUGGACUCCCCUUUGCCGGUUGAGUUCUCUCCCAACAUGCAAGCUGAACCAAAUAAUCAUAACAUUAGGGUGAAUUAUGAAAGCUAUCACAAACACACAAUCAAAAUUCCAGCAGCAAAAGAAUUUAGCUAACAAGAAAAAGGACUUCCCUCCCACAACUCACGGCUAUGCAUCACCGUUAGUCCAUUCUUUCUCUUUUCAACCCAUAUGAAGAUAGUGGGGGGGGGGGGGGUUGAGAGGUUACCAAUUUUGAGAAAAAAAAAUUUCCUUAAACAAGCAAAUUCUCCCACAUUCAUCAACAUGCAGCUGUGCCUUCUCCCUCCUUUCAUUUGAAUCUUGGCCAAAGAAGAAAAAUGGGAUGGAAGAAGAAAUAAAUUCAUUUAUUUCCUUGUUAUUACCGUCCAACGACCCUUCCACUGUCCCAUUUUCCUCCACUUUCCAUAAUCGUUAAAACGAUGUAAGUUGAUAGUAAAUUUAGCCAGCCAUAAUCAUGGUCUGUCCCCCAAUGUCUUUACAUGCAACCCCCUUUCUUAUGACAUCCCUUCUUUUUUUUUAAUAAAAUUUUAACCUUCCUUUCCAUCAAGACUCCAAACAACUCUACCUAUUUAGUUAACUUUGAAUGGUUAAAUUUUCAUACUAUAUUAACUCGAUUAACAGUGCCUCCCAAGAAGACAAGUCUAUAGCAUCAUUCAUAAACAAAAUAUAUAUAUAUAUAUAUAAUUAAAAAUACCAGCAAACUGUCCACUAUCAAACAUAAAAUGGUUUACUUGCCAAUUUGAGCUUUGGCUUAAUUACCAUUUUUGUCAUUUAACAAUUAAAACCUAUAGCAAUUAACUUAUGCAACUUUUAUGAUUUAGCCCCUGACGGUUAAUUAAUAGCUAAUUCGGCCAAAUUACUAAUCCAAAAUUCAAUUCACUUAAAAAAAUAACUCUCUGUAAAUACGAGUUCGGUUUAUGGAAACAGAGUCCCGAAACCGUAUUUUUUUAUACCACUGACUUUCGGGUUGUUACACUAACACUAUAAAUUCACAAUUCAACCACAACCAAUACAUAUAAGUACGUAACUAUACCCUAUGAAAUUAUCAGGAAAUAACAACAAUGAUUGAAUUGUCAAGGACUAAUCAACAUUUUUUUCCUUUUCCUCAAUUAUCUACUGGUUGGUUCAAAUAUUGAUUUAUAUGGUAAUUCAUUUCAAAUUAUCAGUUCCAAUUACCUUAAAACCUCUAAUUCCAUGCAUAUGACAGCUUAAUUGCAUUUUCACAAUUUUUUAAAGUUUCAUAUUUUAUUUAAUUUAGUCCCUAAAAUCGAAACAACUAUAACUUUCACAUUUAAGCUUCAUUUUUCUAUCUGUUUUGAAUUUCAUCCAUCUAUAACCCUAUAGAAUAAAAAAUUACAGUAAUUACAUGUCAAAUUUGACAUAAUUAUAAUUUAAUCCUGAUACUCAAAAUUAACAAAAUCCACUUUACAAAUUAAUUAUUGAUCAUUUCUAAGCUUACAAAUCUACCAUUUAACAUAAAAAAAACUUCAAGAAAUCAUUAAUGGUAACCUUUUAAAACUUUAAAAUUUUUACCAAUUAAUCUCAAGACUAAUUAAAUUAUACUCCCGAGAUUCUAAAAAUAAAAAUAAUUACAAAAAAAAUGUUAAAAAUGACUUACCAAUUUUGAAGAAUAAGUUGGCCCAAAGCUUUGGCUUUCUCUUCAAUGGAGAAACGACGGUGAAGAGGGGAAAAAAUUAAUGAAAAUGGCCAUUAACUUUGUUUUAUGUUUUAAUAUAUUUUAACUUAAUUUUAACAUUAAAAAAUAUAAAUUAAUUAUAAGGCAUUAACCGUUUAUUACAACUUAAAUAGUGCUUUAGACUCUUGAAUAAUAUUAAGCAAGCAUUUUAGUUAAUAAAAAUAAAUAGCAAUUAAUUUUUACGUUUUUUACAACUUAGUUUUUGUGCUCUAAUUAAUCAUCUAAUCACUAAAAUUUUCAAAUCAAAAUUUAAUAUAAUCUUAUAAUUGACUCGCAAGUAUUAAUAAAUAAUAUUUAUUGACUCAAUCAUCGAAGAACAUGGUUCUGAAACCAUCAUUUUCGAUACCAUUAAAAAUUGAGUUGUUACAACUUUUCCUAUACACCACUAUAUAUUUUGUGUUUUAAAAUGCUUAAAAAGCUUAAAAAAACAUGUCGCUAAAGACCUAUUUUUCUAUAGUGUUAAUUUUCUUUUACUCACUAUUUAAACUAGUUUUUAUUUUAAUUUCAUAUAUAUUGUAUAUGUAUUGAUAUUAUUAUUAGUUUUAAACCUUAUGUUUAAAGUCAAUUCAUUUUUAAAAGGGGGAAUGAAACUUGCACGGAAUGUAUGAAAUUUAUCAAAGUCAAUUCAACCAAACUUUCAAUUUUCAAGUAGAAAAUAUUAGUCAAUUUGCGACCAAAUUUUGGAUGGGAUCCAGAUAUUUAUGGGCUUAGAUGUCUGCGUAGUGUUUGAAGAGUUAUCUAUUAGUUUCAAAACUCACUUUGAAUCACUCGAUUUCGAAUUCAGGAGCUAAAGUUAUAACCAUUUUAGUGAAGACUGUGUGAGCAGAAUUUAUGAAUGAAAUUAUUACGAAAAUUACGAGUUUCAGGCUUUUUAUUCGAGUUUAAAUCAUAUUGGGUUCAAGUUUUAAGCUUAUGGGUCUAAUAUUAUAUUUAUUAAGUUUUAUUACUUUAUUAUUAGUUUAUUCUGAAUUUUGGAUAAUUUUUUAGUAUUUUAAGUUAUUUAAGAGUUUUAUGUCAAUAAAAAAGUUUAGUUCAAAACUACUUAUUAAGUUAAUUAGAGUUUCAGUAUAUUUAAUAGUUUUAUUUGGAUUUACUUAGCUAACCUAUAUAAAAGCCUCUUCAUUGUACACAAUCAAUUCAUUCAUUAUUCACUUUGAGUUAAAAAAUUUAUCUUUAAUAAUUUCUCUCGAGUUUUCUUUUAGAAAAGUUUUAACAAUACUUUUAGAUUGUAAGGAUUAUUUUCAAGUUUUUUCUUACCAAGUUCUCUUUCUUGGAGGGAAAAUUAGAUUCGUUUGAAGAGGAUUGUCAACUCAUCAGAUUUCCAAGACUCUUUAGGACUUCUACACGCCAUCUUCAUCUUUUCCAUCUAUCUAUUUUAUUUUCUUCUUUAUUCUAUCUUGUUCAUAUUUAAUUAUUGAUUUAUUUAAUUGUUUUUUCUAUCUUAAUUAUUUAUUUUAAUCGCUUCCUUUAGUUUUAAAAUUCUUAGAUUUGACUUAGAUUUGUUUGCGUCUCAGGUUGUGUCAGUCAAAUUCACAACUUAGAUAAACUUAUGAUAUUGUUCUGCACUCAUCCAUAUCAUUUGGUAUCAGUUUCUUGGGCGUUUUUUGUGUUCUUUAUAUUUUUAUAAAUUGAUUUUCAGCAAAUAACCUCAAAAUAAUUUUUACCCAAAAUUUUUUUCCAAAAAAAAAACAUUUUUCAAUGGGUAAAAUUUAGAUAAAUUUUUGCAUAUUGAUUAUCGACACUCUCUUAGAAUAUUAAAAAAUAUUUCUUAAAAAAAUGAAAAAAAAAUAAAAAAAUAAAGAAAAGUUUUAAUAAAUUUGUGGGUUAAAUUUCCUGUUCCGCACUCAUCCGUGAAAAUGUGUAAUAAUUUAGUAAAAGUAAUAAUCUUCAAUUAAAAGGAUAAACAUGUUGGAAAAUAGAUCAACAGAUUUUUCUUAUAUUAUAAGGUGCCAAAAUUUUAAGAAAGGGCAAGAAGGUGCGCAUAAUCGGAGGCGGAUGAUAAAAAAAUUAAGUUAAAAUAUAUCAUAAAUUUUUGUAUUCUUUGUAAAUUUAAAAUUGUCUCUUUAUUUUUAUUGGUAGGAAUUUAGUUCUUUUACGUUUCAUCUUUCAGAAUCUAAAUCUAAUUGUUAAUAUUGUUAAAAAUAUUUAAAAAAAAUUCAAGUUCAUUAUAAUACAAUUUUUUAAUUACAUGGCAACUAAGUAGAUAUUUUUUAUUUUAAAAUAUUACAUGAACAAAUUAAAAAAAAAUAAUUGUGUUAACUAUUGAAUUGAAUUUUGAAAUAUAAAAAAAGUAUAGAAACUAAAUUCUUGAAAAUUGGAGUGCAAACACUAAAUUCUAAAUUUGUGAAGAAUUAAGAGGUUUUGACACAUUUUAACAAAAAUGAUAAAAUUAUCAUGGAAGCCGCCCUUGUACUAGGAGUUAAAUUACAUUUUACCCCUCCACCAAAAAAUGGGCAAAUUAGCUUCUGUACAUUUAAUUAAAGAGCAAAUUAGUCCUUUUGUUAAAAAAAAUUAUUCAUUUCUACUGUUAAAAAUUGGUCUCUGUCUGUCACCACGAGAUACACAUGACACAUCACAUAUCCCUAUUUGGUUAUUCUGUCAAUCACAUCAAUUUUUAACAAUACAAAUAGAUGAAAUUUUUUACAAAAAAGACCAAUUUAUAUUUUAAUCUAAUGUAAAAAGAGCGAAAUAUAAUCCGACUCUUGUUAGAGGAGCCUCCAUGAUACUUUUACCUAAAAAAAA
rnacentral:lncRNA from 1 species